UUUCCGUAGGUGAACCUGCGGAAGGAUCAUUAAAGAGUAAGGGUCUCCGGGCCUGAUCUCCAACCCUUUGUUUAAUUACCAUGUCGCUGUGGCGGGCCCGUCUCACGACCGCCUGAAGUUUGGUCUCAACCACACUUCUGGCCCGUGCCCGUCAGUGGCCCCUUCAAAUUUUUGAUCAAAGAUGAUGUCGUAGGUAUAAACUUAAUAGUUAAAACUUUCAACAACGGAUCUCUUGGUUCUG
rnacentral:misc_RNA from 1 species